CUGCCCGGCUGGGGACCCGCGCACCUGCAGCGCCCGCUGCUCGGCCCUGCAUCCUGCCUGGGCAUCCUGCGCCCGGCCAUGACGGCGCACUCAUUCGCCCUCCCGGUCAUCAUCUUCACCACGUUCUGGGGCCUCGUCGGCAUCGCCGGGCCCUGGUUCGUGCCGAAGGGACCCAACCGCGGGUGAUCAUCACCAUGCUGGUCGCCACCGCCGUCUGCUGUUACCUCUUUGCCCAGCUCUCGGAAUGACUGUGGCUCCA
rnacentral:lncRNA from 1 species